rnacentral:tRNA from 2 species
GCCCGGGUGGUCUAGUGGUAUGAUUCUCGCUUAGGGUAACAACCCAAGCAUAUCUGCGAGAGGUCCCGCGUUCGAUCCGCGGCUCGGGCC